UUAAAUUGAAGAGUUUGAUCAUGGCUCAGAUUGAACGCUGGCGGCAGGCCUAACACAUGCAAGUCGAACGGUAACAGGAAUCAGCUUGCUGAUUUGCUGACGAGUGGCGGACGGGUGAGUAAUGUCUGGGAAACUGCCUGAUGGAGGGGGAUAACUACUGGAAACGGUAGCUAAUACCGCAUAACGUCGCAAGACCAAAGAGGGGGACCUUC
rnacentral:rRNA from 1 species